UGUGGUCACUGUCCAUUGGUAAUUUCGGCUGAUACCUUUAGUAGGCUAUGUUAUUAAGGAAAGGGCAGAUAAGUGUUUGAAUAGGAGGAGCUUCACAUUCUGCUGGCGUGAUCUUGUACGAAGAGCAUUUCAGUGUUUAUGCACAAAGAUACCGCUAAAAGAUGAAAAAAAGGCUGGGAAAUCUAAGUUCGGGCUCCCUCACUUCUGAUUUAACAGAGGAGAAAAGAAAGCAGCUCUGUUCCUUGCUGGGGAAUGUGGAACUGACUCUUCUCUACAAAGCUUCUGUUCAUGGAUAUCAUGCUUCUGUCUUCCACCAGCGAUGUGACCGUCAGGGUCCAACAUUACUUGUGGCCUACAACCGUUCAGGCUACAUCUUUGGUGGAUACACUAGUGUAGAUUAUACUCAAAGUGGAGAGGAAAUUACAGAUGAGAGCGCUUUCCUGUUCAGCUUUCAAGGUGUUCAUCGUUCAAAUCCUCUCUGCAUCAAAAUUAACAGUGCACGUUAUGUACGUUAUGAUGAUGCUGGAGGACCCAGCUUUGGCGAACAGUUAUACUUUUGCUACAACAACCAACCAGUUGUGUAUAGUAAAGGAGGGAGUGGAUCAUAUUAUAAUGCGGGGUUUAAUGCAUUCAAUUUUAGUCCUGCCACACUACGUGGGAAUGACACUCAACUAACUGAAUGUGAGGUGUACAAAGUGGAACAGAAAAAAGAUCCUCAGAUCAGUGCCAAGGUGAAGCCAUGGAGGAAUGUUCAGUGGACAGCAAAACGAAGAGACGAGCUCAUGAAAAUGAUCAGGAAUUAUAAACCCAUGCUGACGUCUGUGAGUCGGGUCAGAAUCCUAAUGAUCGGUCCUGUAGGUGCAGGAAAAUCCAGUUUCUUCAACUCCAUCAACUCCAUCUUCAUGGGCCGCAUGACCAGUAAAGCCAUGUCAGGAUCUGCAGGCACUAGCCUCACCACACAGUUUCGCACAUACCCAGUGAAAGACGGUCGUGAGGGAAAGCCACUGCCGUUUGUGUUGUGUGACACCAUGGGACUCGAGGAGCAAUCAGGUGCAGGACUGGAUAUUAAGGACAUCAGCCGCAUUCUUCAAGGUCACGUACCAGACCGCUAUAAAUUCAACCCCAUGACACCAUUUCAACCGGAUGAGCAAAAGACCUCCAGACCUGCAUCUCUACAGGAGAAGAUCCACUGUGUGGUGUACGUGAUAGACGCCACCAAAAUCUCCCUCAUGUCCGACAAACUAGAGGAAAAACUUGCUGCCAUACGCAGAAAAGUGAACUCACUGGGUUUUGAUGGCAAAAGUAGAUGAAGCAUGUCCUGAUGUGGAGGAAGAUCUUCAAAAUGUUUAUAUCACUUCCUACAUCAAGACGAAGGUAAAAUCGAACUUCGAGCCUCCUGUACCCAUUCUGUGAUGCCAAACAACUUCCCUGUGCAAAGGAUCUUGAGGGCCCGUAGUGUUCAUCAGUUGUACCCUUCGAGAGCACUUCAGUUUGGAACGACCCUUCAAUAUGGCGGCCAUGAUUGUUUUCACUCCAAAGUGCCCUUCGGAGGGCGAUAUAUCCUGUUUGAAACGCACGGAUAGUCACAUGAUCACAUGAACACUUCCUUAAGGACUCACUUCACAUCAAGGCACAAAGUCACUUUCCAAAACCUUCACCCUCUCUGCUCCUCUCUGGUGAAAUAAGCUGCCAACCUCCACAUGAACUCCUGAGAGCAUCGCAACUUUUACAGCGUGGCUAAAGACACACCACUUCUGCAAAAACUUAACCACUCCACAACCUUAAACCAAUAUGCUUACACAAAAAAAUCAUAUUUUUUUUCUGUUCUGCAUUCCUCCUCUUCUCUACCUUGUUUCCUAAUCUAAUUUUCUAACAAACCUGGCAUUGUAUACUAUAAACAUUGUUGGCUCUGUGACAAAUUGAUUAUGUUCCUCUAUUGUUAGUCACUUUGGAUAGAAACAUCUCCUAAAUGCAUAAAUGUGACUGAGAUGUUGUUUCGUCUCUGCAGGUUCAGGAGGUGAGCUCUCGGUUGGGUGUGCCAGUGUCUUGUGUGUUACCGGUGAAGAACUACAGUCAGGAGCUGGAGCUGGAGCUCAACUGUGACGUCCUGCUUCUCACCGCUCUACAGCAGAUGCUAUACUUUGCAGACGACUAUUUGGAUGAUGUUUGUCCCGUGGAGGACAAACCCAAAUAAAGAGCUGUGUAUUAUAGAUCAGGAUAUUUACCUCUUGAUCAGCACAAUAAGACAUCUUAAGUUAGAAAAUUAUUUUGUUCUGUUUGCCUGUUCUAGUUCUUUUGUAGUCAUAGAAAAUCCAUUCAAGAAAAUGCAAAUAAGGUACUGUAAAGUUUCAUGCUUUUGUUAGUUGCUUGUUGACUGUUGUUCCACAAUCAGGUUUAUAGGUUAUAAUACUAGAAUCAUGUGUUAGGCCUGCAAAUUAACAGAAAAAACAUGGAGAAUUCAGUAUGCUAAAACUGUAUAAGGACUAUAUUUAAAAAUGCUUCUUUUGAUAAAUGGAUCACUUUUUUAUUAUAUGCUUUAGGCUUAAAGUGUCUUUCAGAAUUGUGCAAGAUUAAAAUAAAAUUAAUUAUACAAAUUUUAGACUUUAUUGUUUCUAUAUAUAAAAUGUAUAUUUUAAUGAAAUAUGAAUAUAAAUGAAUUUUAAAUUUAAAAAUUUCUAAUUAAAUAUUUUUUUUCCCAACAAAGCACAUGCUUUGGAUCACAAUCGAAUGUAUGUAUAAAUAGGCCAUGACAAUGCUUAUUUACCUACAUGUUAAAUCAGACAUUUUAUUUCUACACUUUACAACAGAAUAUCAGAACAGAAUAUUCUGAAAAAAAUUAUAUUGACAAAUAAAGUACAUUUUUAUCUCUA